rnacentral:rRNA from 2 species
GCAAGUCGAGCGGACAGAUGGGAGCUUGCUCCCUGAUGUUAGCGGCGGACGGGUGAGUAACACGUGGGUAACCUGCCUGUAAGACUGGGAUAACUCCGGGAAACCGGGGCUAAUACCGGAUGCUUGUUUGAACCGCAUGGUUCAGACAUAAAAGGUGGCUUCGGCUACCACUUACAGAUGGACCCGCGGCGCAUUAGCUAGUUGGUGAGGUAACGGCUCACCAAGGCGACGAUGCGUAGCCGACCUGAGAGGGUGAUCGGCCACACUGGGACUGAGACACGGCCCAGACUCCUACGGGAGGCAGCAGUAGGGAAUCUUCCGCAAUGGACGAAAGUCUGACGGAGCAACGCCGCGUGAGUGAUGAAGGUUUUCGGAUCGUAAAGCUCUGUUGUUAGGGAAGAACAAGUGCCGUUCAAAUAGGGCGGCACCUUGACGGUACCUAACCAGAAAGCCACGGCUAACUACGUGCCAGCAGCCGCGGUAAUACGUAGGUGGCAAGCGUUGUCCGGAAUUAUUGGGCGUAAAGGGCUCGCAGGCGGUUUCUUAAGUCUGAUGUGAAAGCCCCCGGCUCAACCGGGGAGGGUCAUUGGAAACUGGGGAACUUGAGUGCAGAAGAGGAGAGUGGAAUUCCACGUGUAGCGGUGAAAUGCGUAGAGAUGUGGAGGAACACCAGUGGCGAAGGCGACUCUCUGGUCUGUAACUGACGCUGAGGAGCGAAAGCGUGGGGAGCGAACAGGAUUAGAUACCCUGGUAGUCCACGCCGUAAACGAUGAGUGCUAAGUGUUAGGGGGUUUCCGCCCCUUAGUGCUGCAGCUAACGCAUUAAGCACUCCGCCU